AUUUAAAUAGUUUAAGAAAAAUAUUGAUUUGUGAUAUCAAAGAUAUAAGUAGUUAUUUUAAAUA
rnacentral:tRNA from 1 species